UGGCCCAUAAUUCCCUCAUUUGUUUUAGGCAUGUGACAUUUAAGGAAUUGGUGGAAAUUUAAGAAGUUGUUAAGAGUCUAAAAGAAGAAAGACUCUUCCUCUUCUUAAUGCUAAAAAGAGGGUGGUGGUAAUUAAUUUAUAGUGUGAAAUCAGGGUGGCAUGGAGGUCACCUUCUACACUUAAAACUCUUCCAAGUUGGGUAGGAGUCUAAUUAAAAUAGACCUAAUCUAAUCAGAUCAAAAGCAACAGGUUCGGUUUAGCUCAAACAUUUUGAACUUAACCUAAUUAGAAACUUGGGUUAACACAAUAUGCUAGCAAACCAAAUUAAUCUCUAGAAUUUACAUU
rnacentral:lncRNA from 1 species